rnacentral:rRNA from 1 species
AUGCACGCUGGCGGCGGGGAGAAGACAUGCCAGUCGAGCGAACAGACGAGGAGCUUGCUCCUCUGACGUUAGCGGCGGACGGGUGAGUAACACGUGGAUAACCUACCUAUAAGACUGGGAUAACUUCGGGAAACCGGAGCUAAUACCGGAUAAUAUAUUGAACCGCAUGGUUCAAUAGUGAAAGACGGUUUUGCUGUCACUUAUAGAUGGAUCCGCGCCGCAUUAGCUAGUUGGUAAGGUAACGGCUUACCAAGGCAACGAUGCGUAGCCGACCUGAGAGGGUGAUCGGCCACACUGGAACUGAGACACGGUCCAGACUCCUACGGGAGGCAGCAGUAGGGAAUCUUCCGCAAUGGGCGAAAGCUUGACGGAGCAACGCCGCGUGAGUGAUGAAGGUCUUCGGAUCGUAAACCUCUGUUAUUAGGGAAGAACAAAUGUGUAAGUAACUAUGCACGUCUUGACGGUACCUAAUCAGAAAGCCACGGCUCCCUACGUG